rnacentral:rRNA from 1 species
GAUGAACGCUGGCGGCGUGCCUAAUACAUGCAAGUCGAGCGAACAGACGAGGAGCUUGCUCCUCUGACGUUAGCGGCGGACGGGUGAGUAACACGUGGAUAACCUACCUAUAAGACUGGGAUAACUUCGGGAAACCGGAGCUAAUAACGGAUAAUAUAUUGAACCGCAUGGUUCAAUAGUGAAAGACGGCUUUGCUGUCACUUAUAGCUGGAUCCGCGUCGCAUUAGCUAGUUGGUAAGGUAACGGCUUACCAAGGCGACGAUGCGUAGCCGACCUGAGAGGAUGAUCAGCCACACUGGAACUGAGACACGGUCCAGACUCCUACGGGAGGCAGCAGUAGGGAAUCUUCCACAAUGGGCGAAAGCUUGACGGAGCAACACCGCGUGAGUGAUGAAGGUCUUCGGAUUGUAAAGCUCUGUUAUUAGGGAAGAACAAAUGUGUAAGUAACUAUGCACGUCUUGACGGUACCUAAUCAGAAAGCCACGGCUAACUACGUG